rnacentral:rRNA from 1 species
ACGGAAGGCGGCAGUGGGGAAUAUUGCACAAUGGGGGAAACCCUGAUGCAGCAACGCCGCGUGAGUGAAGAAGUAUUUCGGUAUGUAAAGCUCUAUCAGCAGGGAAGAUAAUGACGGUACCUGACUAAGAAGCUCCGGCUAAAUACGUGCCAGCAGCCGCGGUAAUACGUAUGGAGCAAGCGUUAUCCGGAUUUACUGGGUGUAAAGGGUGCGUAGGUGGCAUGGUAAGUCAGAUGUGAAAUACCGGGGCUCAACCCCGGAGCUGCAUUUGAAACUGCCAGGCUGGAGUGCAGGAGAGGCAAGCGGAAUUCCUAGUGUAGCGGUGAAAUGCGUAGAUAUUAGGAGGAACACCAGUGGCGAAGGCGGCUUGCUGGACGAAAACUGACGCUGAGGCGCGAAAGCGUGGGGAGCAAACAGGAUUAGAUACCCUGGUA